rnacentral:rRNA from 1 species
UGAGGAAUAUUGGACAAUGGACGAAAGUCUGAUCCAGCUAUGCCGCGUGCAGGAUGACGGCCCUAUGGGUUGUAAACUGCUUUUAUACAGGAAGAAAAAAUCCGACGUGUCGGAUCUUGACGGUACUGUAAGAAUAAGGAUCGGCUAACUCCGUGCCAGCAGCCGCGGUAAUACGGAGGAUCCAAGCGUUAUCCGGAAUCAUUGGGUUUAAAGGGUCCGCAGGCGGUUUUUUAAGUCAGAGGUGAAAUCCUACAGCUCAACUGUAGAAUUGCCUUUGAUACUGAAAGACUUGAGUUAUUGUGAAGUGGUUAGAAUGUGUGGUGUAGCGGUGAAAUGCAUAGAUAUCACACAGAAUACCAAUUGCGAAGGCAGAUCACUAACAAUAUACUGACGCUCAGGGACGAAAGCGUGGGUAGCGAACAGG